GACGAACGCUGGCGGCGUGCUUAACACAUGCAAGUCGAGCGGAAAGGCCCUGCUUUUGUGGGGUGCUCGAUUGGCGAACGGGUGAGUAACACGUGUGUAACCUGCCCUUGUCUUUGGGAUAACUUCAGGAAACUCGGGCUCAUACCCGAUAGGAUCUCCUGCUGCAUGGUGGGGGUUGGUAAGUUUCGGCGGUUGGGGAUGGACUCGCGGCUUCUCAGCUUGUUGGUGGGGUAGUGGCUUACGAAGGCUUUGACGGGUAGCCGGCCUGAGAGGGUGGCCGGCGACAAGGGGACUGCGGUAGGGCCCAGAAGGCUACGGGAGGCAGCAGGGGGGAAUAUUGCAGAACGGGCGGAAGCCUGAUGCAGCAGCGCCGCGUGCGGGAUGACGGCCUACGGGUGGUAAACCGCUUUCGCCUGUGACGAAGCGGGAGUGACGGUAAUGGGUAAAGAAGCACCGGCUAACUACGUG
rnacentral:rRNA from 1 species